rnacentral:rRNA from 1 species
GACGAACGCUGGCGGCGUGCCUAAUACAUGCAAGUAGAACGCACAGUUUAUACCGUAGCUUGCUACACCAUAAACUGUGAGUUGCGAACGGGUGAGUAACGCGUAGGUAACCUGCCUGGUAGCGGGGGAUAACUAUUGGAAACGAUAGCUAAUACCGCAUAAUAUUGAUUAUUGCAUGAUAAUUGAUUGAAAGAUGCUAUUGCAUCACUACCAGAUGGACCUGCGUUGUAUUAGCUAGUAGGUGAGGUAACGGCUCACCUAGGCGACGAGACAUAGCCGACCUGAGAGGGUGAUCGGCCACACUGGGAGUGAGACACGGCCCAGACUCCUACGGGAGGCAGCAGUAGGGAAUCUUCGGCAAUGGACGAAAGUCUGACCGAGCAACGCCGCGUGCGUGAAGAAGGUUUUCGGGUCGUGAAGCUCUGUUGUAAGAGAAGAACGGGUGUGAGAGUGGAAAGUUCACACUGUGACGGUAUCUUACCAGAAAGGGACGGCUAACUACGUG